GUGGGGAAUAUUGGACAAUGGGCGCAAGCCUGAUCCAGCCAUGCCGCGUGUGUGAAGAAGGCCUUUUGGUUGUAGAGCACUUUAAGCGAGGAGGAGGCUACCGAGAUUAAUACUCUUGGAUAGUGGACGUUACUCGCAGAAUAAGCACCGGCUAACUCUGUGCCAGCAGCCGCGGUAAUACAGAGGGUGCGAGCGUUAAUCGGAUUUACUGGGCGUAAAGCGUGCGUAGGCGGCUUUUUAAGUCGGAUGUGAAAUCCCUGAGCUUAACUUAGGAAUUGCAUUCGAUACUGGGAAGCUAGAGUAUGGGAGAGGAUGGUAGAAUUCCAGGUGUAGCGGUGAAAUGCGUAGAGAUCUGGAGGAAUACCGAUGGCGAAGGCAGCCAUCUGGCCUAAUACUGACGCUGAGGUACGAAAGCAUGGGGAGCAAACAGGAUUAGAUACCCGAGUAGUCC
rnacentral:rRNA from 1 species